rnacentral:lncRNA from 1 species
GUAAGGGUUGCAGCUGGAGAAGUUUCUAGUCUACUAACUUCAGCUUCAGUGUGCAAUCUAUUACCAGCUUCUGGUUUUUGAGCAUCUUCUACUUGCGUAUCUGGCUCGGCACUCGCAUGUAGCACAUCAGGACUGCUGCUGCUACUUCCAGGUUUCAUUUGAACAUCUCUGUCGUAUGGACCUCUGUAAAUGCUAGGAGUCUUCUGUGAAUAGUAGCCAUCGGAUUUACUCCCAUCAUACUGGCUGAAGUCUAUUUCCUCCCGUUGGCUGUCAGGUAGAGGAAGCCUCUUCUUCUGAGAAGGCAUUAAACAUCUUAUCACAGACACUGAUGAUGCUGCACCAUAGCAGAAAGCCUGGAGGAGAGAAGACGAAGCAAAACAAAAACUCUAAACUGUUGCAGCCUACAGUUUUCAUACAGAAUUCAAAGCCAUAAAACUAAAAAAUACUGAAAUUGAACUACUGAUGAUCAAAUGGCUACACUAAAAUUUUCUGCAUGGCACAUCAGCUGCCACAUUUUAAUUCAUCUUUUGUGCUACAAUAAAGACACUGAAGGGUCUAACUCACUGCUUUCAUGUACAAAAUGCAAUGUCACACAUCACUGUGUAAUGAAUCUUAAGAAAGAAAUGGGAACGAAGUUGAAGUAAACUGUCACAGAAUCUGGGAUUUCAUGCAGUUUAAUGCUAUUUUAUCCCAAACUGAACUUAAAAAGAUUUUGCCACGGAAAAAAUUCCUCGUACAAAUAAUUUCACCUGUGCAAUGAAAUCUGUUCAACAGUACAAAUAAGAAAUAAAUAAUAAUACCUAAAUAAAUUUAAUAUGUAAAAAUAAAUUUGAGCUUCUAAAUACUAUUAAUGCAUACAAACCAGAAUGAACAGAGCCAUCAUGAUUAGCACCGGAACCUGCAGAAUCAGUGGUAUCUCCUUCAUAAGCGCUCUGAUGAACUCACCAAUACCUUGUCCCACAUGCUUCAGAGGCUCAGUUACAAAGGUGGUAAAAGUAAUAGCCAAUGCCUAGAGAAGAACAAACACAAGCCUGGUGUUGGGACGGGUGAUAAGGAAACACAGAGUCUCUCUGGGUCUGGCUUUUACCUUUGUUGGUGGAACCAGCAAAACAGGGUUUACUAGCAGAGUUUCAUAGUACUUCUGACAGGGAUCGUCCUGAUAUGUCCACUGUCUUCUGAGCCAUCCUGAAGUCAAAGCAGGGAUGCAUUUUCACUACUUGUUAAAACAUAUUUUAUGACACAGUA